GUUUCAAAUGAGACAAUGCCACACAGCGAAGAAUCGGUGUUCCACUAGAACUCGGGACAGAAACCCAUCUGGUCGAACUACACACAUCUACGCAUGGGUCGGCCUCACUGUCCGUCCAAUCUGUCCUUCCAUCCAACCAAUACACAGCGCCAGAUACCGUCCAGAGCACACAGCAUCCAAAAGAAAAUGGUACAGUUACCGUUACCGAUCUAGAGCUGGAGGAACUUCAGAGGUCACCUGGUCCCACUCCUUCACUGCACAGAUGGGAAAACUCAGGCCCAGAGGAGGUGGAACUUGCUGAAUUUAAACAAAAGGUAACACAAUGCCACUGGAACUCAGGAGUACUGACUCCAUGAUAUAUUAAUUUCUGCAUGGACUCGCUGGAUGUUAAACAGUGCUUAUCAUCUGUCAGGCAUUGAGCUAGGGGAAAGAGUCGUCCAUAAGACAAGAUUCCUGCCUUCAUGGAACUUCCUUGCAUUCUACUGGGACAGAGAUACAAUGAAGCAAAUAAAUCAGUGACAAAUCACAUUUGUGGUGAGGCUUAUGAUGAUAAGAGACAUGGAUCUAUAAAAGGUU
rnacentral:lncRNA from 1 species